rnacentral:rRNA from 1 species
UACGUAGGGGGCUAGCGUUGUUCGGAAUUACUGGGCGUAAAGGGCGCGUAGGCGGUCCUGAUCGUCGGAUGUGAAAGGCCUGGGCUCAACCUGGGAACUGCAUUCGAAACUGCCAGCCUUGAGUGGUGGAGAGGGAAGUGGAAUUCCUGGUGUAGAGGUGAAAUUCGUAGAUAUCAGGAGGAACACCAGUGGCGAAGGCGGCUUCCUGGACACCAACGUGGACGCUG